UACAGAGGGUGCAAGCGUUAAUCGGAAUUACUGGGCGUAAAGCGUGCGUAGGUGGUGAGUUAAGUCUGUCGUGAAAGCCCCGGGCUCAACCUGGGAAUGGCGGUGGAAACUGGCGAGCUAGAGUGUGUCAGAGGGGGGUGGAAUUCCACGUGUAGCAGUGAAAUGCGUAGAUAUGUGGAGGAAUACCGAUGGCGAAGGCAGCCCCCUGGGAUAACACUGACGCUCAUGCACGAAAGCGUGGGGAGCAAACAGG
rnacentral:rRNA from 1 species